rnacentral:lncRNA from 1 species
UCUCCAACCAUUUUUCUUUAAAUCUUAAAAGCUUGUGAUUUCUUUAAAAACUAAGUCAAGUGUCUUCAAGCAAGGCAUGAGUACUAACAUCUUGGUCAAGGUUAAGGCAGAGUGGGAUGGAAAUGAAAGGCCCCUGAAAUGUUCCAGAACUGACCCCAUCUCUCACCCCCCUCCCCGCUUCCCUUCCCCCUCCCCCACAGCCUCCUCCUCUUCCUUUUCAUUUACUGGCUAUCAUGAAUCUUUUGAAGCUCACAGACUCCGUUGCUAUGCCAGAUGCACAGUACCUUCCAAGGGUAUCUCCAUGUACUCAUUUGUAGAAUCAGGAAGGAGAGAUUUUCAUUGCCAUCAGUGUUCGUGAUUAUGGGA